UACAGAGGUCCCGAGCGUUGUUCGGAUUUAUUGGGCGUAAAGGGUGCGUAGGCGGCGGAGUAAGUUGGGUGUGAAAUCCCGGGGCUCAACCUCGGAAUUGCAUUCAAUACUGCUUCGCUCGAGUACUGGAGAGGAGGCUGGAAUUUACGGUGUAGCAGUGAAAUUCGUAGAUAUCGGGAGGAACACCAGUGGCGAAGGCGGCGACCUGGGCAGAUACUGACGCUGAGGUGCGAAAGCGUGGGGAGCAAACAGG
rnacentral:rRNA from 1 species